rnacentral:misc_RNA from 1 species
UCAUAGCCCCGAUAGCAGUGGUUACCCCGCAGCAGAAGGGCUGAGGUUGGACGCGAGGAGUAUGAGCGGAUAGCGGGAAAUAGC